rnacentral:rRNA from 1 species
GACGAACGCUGGCGGCGUGCUUAACACAUGCAAGUCGAACGGAAAGGCCCUGCUUUUGUGGGGUGCUCGAGUGGCGAACGGGUGAGUAACACGUGAGUAACCUGCCCUUGACUUUGGGAUAACUUCAGGAAACUGGGGCUAAUACCGGAUAGGAGCUCCUGCUGCAUGGUGGGGGUUGGAAAGUUUCGGCGGUUGGGGAUGGACUCGCGGCUUAUCAGCUUGUUGGUGGGGUAGUGGCUUACCAAGGCUUUGACGGGUAGCCGGCCUGAGAGGGUGACCGGACACAUUGGGCCUGAGCUGCGGCCCAGACUCCUACGGGAGGCAGCAGUGGGGAAUAUUGCACAAUGGGCGGAAGCCUGAUGCAGCAAAGCCGCGUGCGGGAUGACGGCCUUCGGGUUGUAAACCGCUUUCGCCUGUGACGAAGCGUGAGUGACGGUAAUGGGUAAAGAAGCACCGGCUAACUACGUG